GUACUCUGGUUUCCCUUCAAAACGUAUAAAUCUUUCGCCUUUUACUAAAGAUUUCCGUGGAGGGGAACACUCAAAUGAGUCUAACUCUACUUUUUGAAGCCUCACCCUAGGUGAGGU
rfam:Danaus plexippus plexippus isolate F-2 unplaced genomic scaffold DPSCF300355, whole genome shotgun sequence.